rnacentral:lncRNA from 1 species
CAUCACUUAAUCAACUUCCUCCAUCUUGCUGCCCUCAGCAUCAGCAUCAGCGUCCUCCAAUGGGGGCAUCUCAGCAUCACCGUCAACAGCAUCGUCGUCAAUGCUCAAUCCAAGCUUCAACAUUCUGUGGAUCCUGUUGCCAAAGGUGUUGGGGUCAUCAAGGCUGAACCCAGAGGUGAGGAGAGCAGUCUCGAACAGAAGGAGAACAAGGUCCUUCACUGACUUGUCAUUCUUGUCUGCAUCAGCCCUCUUUCUCAGCUCCUCCAUGAUGGGGUUCUCUGGGUUGAUCUCCAUGGUCUUCUUGCUCGACAUGUACCCAGCCAUGCUGUUAUCCCUCAAGGCCUGAGCCUUCAUGAUUCUUUCCAUGUUGGCAGUCCAGCCAUACUCGCCUGUCACCAAACAGCAGGGAGAGUCGACCACACGGUCAGACACCACAACCUUCUCCACUCUGUCACCCAAAACAUCCUUCACAACCUUGCAGAGUCCCUCAAACUUCUCCUUCAACUCUUCCUUCUUCUUUGCCUCGUCUUCACUCUCAUCAAGCUUGAGACCUUCCUUGGUGGCUGAGACAAGCUUCUUGCCCUCAAACUCCUUGAGCUGACCAACAGCGUACUCAUCAAUAGCAUCAACCAUGAAGAGGACCUCAUAUCCCUUCUUCUUCAGCUUCUCAAGGAAUGGAGAGUUCUCAACAGCCUUCUUGCUCUCACCGGUGAUGUAGUAAAUAUCGCUCUGGCCCUCCUUCAUCCUUGUCACAUAGUCCUUGAGACUGGUCAUCUCUUCACCGCUCUUGGUGGAGUGAUAUCUGAGCAACUCAGCAAG